rnacentral:rRNA from 1 species
AGUGAACGCUGGCGGUAGGCCUAACACAUGCAAGUCGAACGGCAGCACAGUAAGAGCUUGCUCUUACGGGUGGCGAGUGGCGGACGGGUGAGGAAUACAUCGGAAUCUACUUUUUCGUGGGGGAUAACGUAGGGAAACUUACGCUAAUACCGCAUACGACCUACGGGUGAAAGCAGGGGAUCUUCGGACCUUGCGCGAUUGAAUGAGCCGAUGUCGGAUUAGCUAGUUGGCGGGGUAAAGGCCCACCAAGGCGACGAUCCGUAGCUGGUCUGAGAGGAUGAUCAGCCACACUGGAACUGAGACACGGUCCAGACUCCUACGGGAGGCAGCAGUGGAGAAUAUUGGACUGGGCGCAAGCCUGAUCCAGCCAUACCGCGUGGGUGAAGAAGGCCUUCGGGUUGUAAAGCCCUUUUGUUGGGAAAGAAAAGCAGCAGGUUAAUACCCCGCUGUUCUGACGGUACCCAAAGAAUAAGCACCGGCUAACUUCGUG